UGGGGAAUUUUGGACAAUGGGGGCAACCCUGAUCCAGCCAUGCCGCGUGCGGGAAGAAGGCCUUCGGGUUGUAAACCGCUUUUGGUCGGGAAGAAAAGGCUCUACCUAAUACGUGGGGUUCUUGACGGUACCGGCAGAAUAAGCACCGGCUAACUACGUGCCAGCAGCCGCGGUAAUACGUAGGGUGCGAGCGUUAAUCGGAAUUACUGGGCGUAAAGCGUGCGCAGGCGGUAAGUUAAGUCUGAUGUGAAAGCCCCGGGCUCAACCUGGGAACGGCAUUGGAAACUGGCUUGCUAGAGUGUGGCAGAGGGGGGUGGAACUCCGCGUGUAGCAGUGAAAUGCGUAGAGAUGCGGAAGAACACCGAUGGCGAAGGCAGCCCCCUGGGCCAACACUGACGCUCAGGCACGAAAGCGUGGGGAGCAAACA
rnacentral:rRNA from 1 species